GAAGGCGGGCUGGAAUCUCUCGGGGUUACAGCCUUGCUGAAUUAUUCACCCUUGUCUUUUGCGUACUUCUUGUUUCCUUGGUGGGUUCGCCCACCACUAGGACAAACAUAAACCUUUUGUAAUUGCAAUCAGCGUCAGUAACAAAUUAAUAAUUACAACUUUCAACAACGGAUCUCUUGGUUCUGGCAUCGAUGAAGAACGCAGCGAAAUGCGAUAAGUAGUGUGAAUUGCAGAAUUCAGUGAAUCAUCGAAUCUUUGAACGCACAUUGCGCCCUUUGGUAUUCCAAAGGGCAUGCCUGUUCGAGCGUCAUUUGUACCCUCAAGCUUUGCUUGGUGUUGGGCGUCUUGUCUCUAGCUUUGCUGGAGACUCGCCUUAAAGUAAUUGGCAGCCGGCCUACUGGUUUCGGAGCGCAGCACAAGUCGCACUCUCUAUCAGCAAAGGUCUAGCAUCCAUUAAGCCUUUUUUCAACUUUUGACCUCGGAUCAGGUAGGGAUACCCGCUGAACUUAAGCAUAUCAAUAAGCGGAGGAA
rnacentral:rRNA from 5 species